rnacentral:rRNA from 1 species
AUUGAACGCUGGCGGCAGGCCUAACACAUGCAAGUCGAGCGAGCGGCGGACGGGUGAGUAAUGUAUGGGGACUGCCCGAUAGCGGGGGAUAACUACUGGAAACGGUGGCUAAUACCGAAUACUGUCGGAUAACCAAUAUGGGAAUAGCUAGUAGGUAAGGUAAUGGCGUACCUAGGCGACGAUCCCUAGCUGGUCUGCGAGGAUGAUCAGCCACACUGGGACGGAGACACGGCCCAGACUCCUACGGAGGAAGCAGGGGGGAAUAUGGCACAAUGGGCGCAAGCCUGAUGCAGCCAUGCCGCGUGUAUGAAGAAGGCCCUAGGGUUGUAAAGUACUUUCAGUCGGGAGGCGUGACCGACAGAAGAAGCACCGGCUAACUCCGUGCCAGCCGCCGCGGUAAUUC